GACGAACGCUGGCGGCGUGCCUAAUACAUGCAAGUCGAGCGCUGAAGGUUGGUCCUUGUACCAACUGGCUGAGCAGCGAACGGGUGAGUAACGCGUGGGGAAUCUGCCUUUGAGCGGGGGACAACAUUUGGAAACGAAUGCUAAUACCGCAUAAAACCUUUAAACACAAGUUUGAAGUGUGAAAGAUGCAAUUGCAUCACUCAAAGACGAUCCCGCGUUGUAUUAGCUAGUUGGUGAGGUAAAGGCUCACCAAGGCGAUGCUACAGAGCCGACCAGAGAGGGUGGUCGACCAGGCUGGGACGGGGGCACGGCCCAACCGCCUACGGGAGGCAGCAGAAGGGAAUCCUGGGGGAAGGAGGGAAGACUGACCGAGAAACGCCGAGUGAGGGAAGAAGGGUCUCGGAUUGGGAGAUGCCGUUGGUCGGGAAGAAAGUUGGUGUGAGUGGAAAGGUCAUGAAAUGACGGUAACUAGCCAAAGAGGCACGGCUAACUACGUG
rnacentral:rRNA from 1 species